CUCUGCGUGUGUAUGUGGACCGCUGUGUGGCUACUCCAGUACCUGAUCCAGAAGCUCUGCCAAGAUAUUCCUUCAUUGAGAAUCACGGGUGCUUUGUGGAUGCCAAGGCUACAGGUUCCAGCUCCCACUUCUUGCCUAUAGCCCAAGAAGACAAGCUCCGUUUCAGUUGGAGGCCUUCAUGUUCCAGGAUACACCCAGUCCUUUUAUCUACAUUACAUGCCUUGUGAAGGCCACUGUUGCUGCUAGACAUAGUGACCAU